GCUCCCUUUUUAUCGUUUGGGCCACCGAUAAGGGAGAGAAAGAAAUACAGUGAAAAAAUUAGAAAGGGGACGAAUAGAAUAGAAGAGAAGCAAAUUCGGAGGGGUUAAGAUGACCGUCGUCAGGAGGAUAUGUGAAAGGGUUUUUAAAAUGCCGUUGGCUGCUAGAAUGAAUGAAUUCAGGGGAGAGAUGUCAGCGGAGUAUCUACUGCUGGAAUAUAAUGAGAAGCAAAAAAGGGCUAUGUUUGAGGUUCUACGGGCAAGAUAUGGUGAUGAGCACUAGACACAAGGUUGACAACUUAUGGAGGACUAGUAGUAUAACUUUCUUAAAGUUUUUGUUAGAAAUUGUCUGCAGGUGGGGGUUAAUGUUGAUAGAUUAUGGAGGACUGGUAAUGUUACUUUCUUUUGUGCUUGGAAGGAAGUGGUGAGGAAAGAAAAUAGGAAGGAAAUAACAAAUUUUCUUUGCUAC